UUCUUCUUCCCCAAGUGAAUAUUCCUUGUGGGUUAGUAAGGUAUCCUGUGUUGCUUACCAAUGGAAUGGUAUUUUGGUGGUUUCGUUAAAAUCAUCCGCCUUGUUCCCGAAUGGGUAUGAGGUGGACAUGUGGUGAGCCUUGUGUUCCCAACAUGCCUAGUGCUUUGGCAUUUGGUUGUUGCGGCCCAUAAGGUCUUCACUUGUUCUCUUGGAUGUGGAAUUCUAUGUGUGCUCGUGCGAGGACUUUACCUCGUCUCGUCAAUACACUGUGUUUUCACUCGAAUGACCGAUGCACCUGUCUUGAUCCUCCCGACGGAGGCCUCACAAUAGGGCUUACCAGAUGAGGGGGGAACAUGCGGGUGUUAGUGUCAAAGAGGAAAGC
rnacentral:misc_RNA from 1 species